UGAUAGAAAAUUGAGGAGGAUGGGCUUUGUGGAAGUUGUGAGGAGAUUACACUUUGUUGGCCUUAAGAAAAAGAGAAAAAGUAUUAAAAAUUAAGAAAUUAGUAUUACUAUUCUCAUCCACUUUAGCUUUGUCCAUAUACUUGGAAUCGAAAUGGUACAUUGGGAUAAUAGCAAGCAAAUGAUCACAACAAGGGAAGAAAGUUUGAUAUUGUUUUGUAUUAAAAAUAAUAAUAAAAAGAAGUGGUUAUUGAUGGUUUGAUUGGUGUUGGUUUCUAAAAGUCUUGAUGUCUUGAUGUCAAAAAGAUAAUGUCUUAUGAAGCCCUCCAAAAAUAUCAACAUUAUAUAAAAUAUGCUUCUAUUGAGCAACAAAGAAAUUUGCAAAGUCUUAACAAUUUUGUUUGAUUCAACGUGUGCUAGAUUUGAAAUAACUGUCAUGUUGUGAAGCCAAUCAUUAGGCUUUUGAAAAGGUUGGAAGAAUCUGAUUGAACAGGAUUAUGAAAAACAGUUUUUUGAAAACAUCAGAUGGAGUUUUUUUUAA
rnacentral:lncRNA from 1 species